rfam:Triticum aestivum genome assembly, contig: Triticum_aestivum_CS42_TGACv1_scaffold_557706_7AL
CUAUUACUCCCUCCGUUCCAAAUUACUCGUCGCAGAAAUUGAUGUAUCUAGAACUAAAAUAUAUCUAGAUACAUCCAUACCUGCGACAAGUAAUUUGGAACGGAGGGAGUAGCUU